ensembl:lncRNA
UUCUUUCCUAUAAAGAAUUAAUUAAUUUCCUAUAGAGUAUAAUCCUAAGUUUGGGUGUGUUACCUAAGAGAACAACUAAGAUCUCUAAUGUGAUACAUUUUGUUAGAUGCUUUUAUUCUCAGUUCUGGAUAGGGAAGGAAAAUGGAGGGUGCUUUUAUUGGUUUUUGGUGGAUUAAUUACUGCAAUUGCCUAGGUAAAGUUGCUUUCUCAUGUUAGAGCUUAAUUAGAAAACCGAGGCUGCAAUUCAUUUAGUAUGGGCGAUUUUCAUCAUUAUAUGAAAACUAUACUUGCUUGAAAAAUUGAAUCCUGAAGUCUUUAUAGGAAAUAUAACAGAAUGUUUUAUGUUGUAAAUUUGGUUACAUGGGCUACGUAGGCUAAAAAGAUGUAAGUUAUGAGUUGUUGAAGCCUUUUAUGCAAAAAUAUUUUUGUUUUGUGUAGAAUUAUGUAAUUUUGAAUAAAGUUAAUUGUUCUCUCUGGGGGAAAAUUACGAAGAUAAACUAGCAUAACUGUGGUAAGUAGGUGGCCUAAUACAUAAUAAUACUAGUAGUUUACAUUACACUAGUACAUUACAUUAAUACACUAGUAGUUUAAAUAUGUUAGUUUUGAAACCUUUUGAGAAAAAAUAGUUAGUCUUAAGCCCAGCAUAUAAAACAUAAAAAAUAGCUGCUUCUGGUUCAGAUAGGGAUAUAGGGCUGGAACCCGUCUUGUUUGGUUAUACCCAUUUCCUCUUACUCAGAAUACCCAGUUUGUAAACCACCAGUGUGGCAAAAACAAAAAGUUCAUGUACAGACUUGUAAUUAAGGUAACCUCAUACUUCCUAGCAUUGGGACCCAAAGUUGCUGAAUUUAUCAGAGCCACAGUUUUCCUUGUCUGUAAAAUGGGGAUAAUAACUACCACACAGGGUUGGUACAAACCAGUAGCCCUGGUGGAAAUAGGGCCUCAUUAUUUUCUUACUCUCCAUAAAUUUCAAACCUAAAUCCUUAGUAUUAUUUCAUUGGAAUCCUUAAAAAAGAAAAAGAAAAAGACCUGGGCAAGGAGAAUGUUUCCUGCAUGCUCCCCAAAAUAUAUACUUUUCUUUUAAAUAGAUUCUCAGGAUGAUGUGCAUUGGCUUUGCACCUUGAUGUAAUAUAGGCUCUCGUGUAAUAGAAUUGGUAACAAGAUUGCUAAAAGCAUUCCUGUUGCCAGAUCCAAAAUUACUUUCAGAUUUAUCUGUUUAGUAUUAGGGUAGGGUGGCAAACUUCUAAAAGGAAGUUUUACUUGCCUGAAAAAUUGAAUCCUGAAGUUUUCAUAGGAAAUAUAAUGGAACAUUUUAUGUUGUAAAAGUUGGUCACAUGGGCUACAUAGCCUAAAAAAGAUACAAGUUAUGAAUUGUUGAGGUCUUUUAUGCAAAAAAUAUUUUUGUUUUCUGUGGAAUUAUAUAAGUAUUUCUGCUUUUACCUAAGUAUUAAGUGUUUAGAACUAGUGUAUAUAAUAUUUAGAAAUUGUGGUGAUAACAGAGACUAAUAUGGCCUUUCUUGUGCCAAUAUAAGAAUACUUCUAGUCUUAGAAGGUAGAAUAAAUCUCUAAAUGGAAGACAGUUCAUACUUCUGUUAAUAAAAUUUAAGUGACUUACUAAUGGAAAAUUUCAUGUAACUUACAUGGUUUAUACAGUAGUGUGUGUGUGUGUGUGUGUGUGUGUGUCUGUGUGUACAGUCAAAGAAAGUUCUGCGUUGGACAUUUUUUCACAUCUCCAGGAUUUUAUGUUGAUGGCUCAGAAAUGGAAGGAACUGGGACAUAAAUGUUUUGAAGAAUAAAGGAAUAUUAUUAGUGAAGCUCAUGUAAAUAUUGGAGUAGUUUCUAACAUCACUGAAGUUUCUGUCAGGUCACAGAGUGCUGGAACCCAGGUUUUAAAGAAGGUAGA